ACGCUCGACACCUACGGGAGGCNGCAGUGGGGAAUAUUGCACAAUGGGGGAAACCCUGAUGCAGCGACGCCGCGUGGAGGAAGAAGGUCUUCGGAUUUGUAAACUCCUGUCCCAGGGGACGAUAAUGACGGUACCCUGGGAGGAAGCACCGGCUAACUACGUGCCAACAGCCGCGGUAAUCUGAGCGGGCUGGCAAGGC
rnacentral:rRNA from 1 species